rnacentral:rRNA from 1 species
UACAGAGGUCUCAAGCGUUGUUCGGAUUCAUUGGGCGUAAAGGGCGCGUAGGCGGACCACCAAGUCCGGGGUGAAAUCCUCCGGCUUAACCGGAGAAUUGCCUGGGAUACUGGUGGUCUUGAGGGAGGUAGGGGCACGCGGAACUUCCGGUGGAGCGGUGAAAUGCGUUGAUAUCGGAAGGAACGCCGGUGGCGAAAGCGGCGUGCUGGCCCUCUUCUGACGCUGAGGCGCGAAAGCCAGGGGAGCGAACGGG